rnacentral:rRNA from 1 species
UGGGGAAUUUUGGACAAUGGGCGCAAGCCUGAUCCAGCCAUGCCGCGUGCGGGAAGAAGGCCUUCGGGUUGUAAACCGCUUUUGUCAGGGAAGAAAUCUUCUGAGUUAAUACCUCGGGAGGAUGACGGUACCUGAAGAAUAAGCACCGGCUAACUACGUGCCAGCAGCCGCGGUAAUACGUAGGGUGCAAGCGUUAAUCGGAAUUACUGGGCGUAAAGCGUGCGCAGGCGGUUUUGUAAGACAGAGGUGAAAUCCCCGGGCUCAACCUGGGAACUGCCUUUGUGACUGCAAGGCUUGAGUGCGGCAGAGGGGGGAUGGAAUUCCGCGUGUAGCAGUGAAAUGCGUAGAUAUGCGGAGGAACACCGAUGGCGAAGGCAAUCCCCUGGGCCUGCACUGACGCUCAUGCACGAAAAGCGUGGGGG